GUUAAGCUCAAGCAGCUUCCAACAAUAAAAGCUUCUGGAGAGAAUAUUCUUCCCUGGAGUGUUACAGCUUGAUAAGACAGGCACUCUCAGAGGAUCUUUGGUGA
rnacentral:miRNA from 14 species